CCAAUAGCGUAUAUUAAAGUUGUUGCAGUUAAAAAGCUCGUAGUUGAAUUUUGGGUCUGGCCGGGCGGUCCGCCUUCUGGGUGAGUACUGUUCCGAUGUCGGGCCUAUCCUUCUGGUGAGUCGGCAUGCCCUUUACUGGAUGUGUCGGGGAACCAGGACCAUUACCUUGAAAAAAUUAGAGUGUUCAAAGCAGGCGCAUGCUCGAAUACAUUAGCAUGGAAUAAUGAAAUAGGACGCGUGGUGCUAUUUUGUUGGUUUCUAGAACCGCCGUAAUGAUUAAUAGGGAUAGUUGGGGGCAUUAGUAUUCAAUUGUCAGAGGUGAAAUUCUUGGAUUUAUUGAAGACUAACUUCUGCGAAAGCAUUUGCCAAGGAUGUUUUCAUUAAUCAAGAACGAAAGUUAGGGGAUCGAAGACGAUCAGAUACCGUCGUAGUCUUAACCAUAAACUAUGCCGACUAGGAAUCGGGCGAAGUUAUUUUCACGACUCGCCCGGCGCCUUAUG
rnacentral:rRNA from 1 species